AUUGAACGCUGGCGGCAGGCCUAACACAUGCAAGUCGAGCGAGCGGCGGACGGGUGAGUAAUGUAUGGGGACUGCCCGAUAGAGGGGGAUAACUACUGGAAACGGUCGCUAAUACCGCAUACUCUCGGAUUACCCCUCUGGGAUUAGCUCGUGGGUGAGGUAAUGGCUCACCUAGGCGAGGAUCCCUAGCUGGUCUGAGAGGAUGAUCAGCGACACUGGGACUGAGACACGGCCCAGACUCCUACGGAGGCAGCAGUGGGGAAUAUUGCACAAUGGGAGCAAGCCUGAUACAGCCAUGCCGCGUGUAUGAAGAAGGCCUUGGGGUUGUAAAGUACUUUCAGUCGGGAGGCGUUACCGACAGAAGAAGCACCGGCUAACUCCGUGCCAGCAGCCGCGGUAAUUC
rnacentral:rRNA from 1 species